UGGAUGUUACGGAGUUUUUUCAGACGGUAGUGGAGGUUAAGGAAAGGGAAGGAGGAGGAGGUGGUGGCGGUGAUGGUGGGCUAGUGGUGACGACGGGCGCGAGUUGUAAGUUGUCUCCGGGCGGAGGGGAAAUGGUAUGUUGAAAGUUAUCUAUCGUGCGUUUGACGUUGGUUUCAAUGAGCCAUGUCACUUCAUCCGAGAGUGGCAUCAAUAAAGAAUCAUGGUAGAAGCGGGAAAACAAUGUAUGGAAGCAAAAAUUUCUUUGGUAUUACGAAAAUGCAUCAGAUAUCAUCUGCAUACGUUUCUUUAUAAUUGCGAAA
rnacentral:sRNA from 2 species